rnacentral:rRNA from 1 species
UACAGGGGGGGGCAAGCGUUGUUCGGAAUUACUGGGCGUAAAGGGCGCGUAGGCGGCCUGUUAAGUCGAACGUGAAAUCCCCGGGCUCAACCCGGGAACUGCGUCCGAUACUGGCAGGCUUGAAUCCGGGAGAGGGAUGCGGAAUUCCAGGUGUAGGCGGUGAAAUGCGUAGAUAUCUGGAGGAACACCGGUGGUGUAGACGGCUCACUGGACCGUAACUGACGCUGAGACACGAAAGCGUGGGUAGCAAACAGG